UGCCAAAGACCUAAACCUAUGUAGAAAAAAAAAUUUGCAGCAAAUUGAAAAAAAAUCACAUGCUAUUAAAGGAAUUCCAUAAUUAAUUUGGGAUGGAAAAUAUGGUCAAAACAUAGUCUGGGAAGAAAACCUAAAUUACAAACUUAACAAAUAGUAGUUGUAGAAAGUGGAAGAUGGAAUUUUCAAAAUAGAUGUUAAAAUGAAAACAAAAAAAUAUGUAUGAAGCUCAGCUAAAUUGCCAUGUAAAUGUGAAAAAUCUAUAGGGCAGUAAAUUUAACUUGCAUAUUAGUUUUGCACAUUAAUAAAGAAAGUAGCAACACCUAAACAGAAGGCAAACAUGUUGUUGAUUGAGAGAAAAGUGCACAGAGGUAGCUACUCUUCUCCAUCAUGAGAUAACAUGUGUU
rnacentral:lncRNA from 1 species